rnacentral:tRNA from 1 species
GGGCGGCUAGCUCAGUUGGUUAGAGCACCAGCACGACACGCUGGGGGUCACAAGUUCGACUCUUGUGCCGCCCA